rnacentral:rRNA from 1 species
UACGUAGGGUGCGAGCGUUAAUCGGAAUUACUGGGCGUAAAGGGUGCGCAGGCGGUUAUAUAAGACAGAUGUGAAAUCCCCGGGCUCAACCUGGGGAACUGCGUUUGUGACUGUAUGACUAGAGUACGGUAGAGGGGGAUGGAAUUCCGCGUGUAGCAGUGAAAUGCGUAGAUAUGCGGAGGAACACCGAUGGCGAAGGCAAUCCCCUGGACCUGUACUGACGCUCAUGCACGAAAGCGUGGGGAGCAAACAGG